rnacentral:rRNA from 1 species
AUGAGUAAUAUAUUUUAUGGUCAUGCACCCUUGAAGAGUGGUCUAUUCUUGUUGAAUCUCGAUUGUAGUAACACACAUAUUCAUAAUAUUGAUGCCAAAAGAUGCAAAGUUGAUAAUGAUAGUGCAACAUAUUUAUGGCACUGCCGUUUAGGUCAUAUUGGUGUAAAGCGCAUGAAGAAACGCCAUAUAGAUGGACUUUUGGAAACACUUGAUUAUGAAUCAUUUGAUACUUGCGAACCAUGCCUCAUGGGCAAGAUGACUAAAACUCCGUCUCCGGAACAAUGGAGUGAACUAAUGACUUAUUGGAAAUAA